UACUGACAAUGGAUGAGUGAA
rnacentral:siRNA from 1 species